GAUGAACGCUGGCGGCGUGCCUAAUACAUGCAAGUCGAGCGAACAGAUGAGGAGCUUGCUCCUCUGACGUUAGCGGCGGACGGGUGAGUAACACGUGGAUAACCUACCUAUAAGACUGGGAUAACUUCGGGAAACCGGAGCUCAUACCGGAUAAUAUAUUGAACCGCAUGGUUCAAUAGUGAAAGACGGUUUUGCUGUCACUUAUAGAUGGAUCCGCGCCGCAUUAGCUAGUUGGUAAGGUAACGGCUUACCAAGGCAACGAUGCGUAGCCGACCUGAGAGGGUGAUCGGCCACACUGGAACUGAGACACGGUCCAGACUCCUACGGGAGGCAGCAGUAGGGAAUCUUCCGCAAUGGGCGAAAGCCUGACGGAGCAACGCCGCGUGAGUGAUGAAGGUCCUCGGAUCGUAAAACUCUGUUAUUAGGGAAGAACAAAUGUGUAAGUAACUAUGCACGUCUUGACGGUACCUAAUCAGAAAGCCACGGCUAACUACGUG
rnacentral:rRNA from 1 species